rnacentral:rRNA from 1 species
GAUGAACGCUAGCGGCGGGCUUAAUACAUGCAAGUCGAACGGGGUAGCAAUACCUAGUGGCGCACGGGUGAGGAACGCGUGGAUAAUCUGCCUUAGAGUGGGGGAUAACUAGUCGAAAGAUUAGCUAAUACCGCAUAAGACCACAGGAGCUGCGGCUCUAGGGGUCAAAGGUUUUUCGCUCUAAGAUGAGUCCGCGUAAGAUUAGCUAGUUGGUGAGGUAACGGCUCACCAAGGCGACGAUCUUUAACUGGUCUGAGAGGAUGAUCAGUCACACUGGAACUGAGACACGGUCCAGACUCCUACGGGAGGCAGCAGUAGGGAAUAUUGCACAAUGGAGGAAACUCUGAUGCAGCGACGCCGCGUGAGUGAUGAAGGCCUUCGGGUCGUAAAGCUCUGUCGCAGGGGAAUAACACAAUGAAUGUACCCUGUAAGAAAGGAUCGGCUAACUUCGUGCCAGCAGCCGCGGUAACAC